UCUGUGUGUGUGUGUGUGUGUGUGUGUGUGUGCGCACACACACACACAUGCGCAUGCACACACUGG
rnacentral:miRNA from 1 species